rnacentral:rRNA from 1 species
GACAGAGGGUGCAAGCGUUGUUCGGAAUCAUUGGGCGUAAAGGGCGCGUAGGCGGCUUGGUAAGUUGGAUGUGAAAUCCCCGGGCUUAACCCAGGAAGUGCAUCCAAAACUGCCUUGCUUGAGUGCUGGAGAGGGUGGCGGAAUUCCCAGUGUAGAGGUGAAAUUCGUAGAUAUUGGGAGGAACACCCGUGGCGAAGGCGGCCACCUGGACAGACACUGACGCUGAGGCGCGAAAGCGUGGGGAGCAAACAGG